rnacentral:rRNA from 1 species
CCUACGGGAGGCUGCAGUGGGGAAUAUUGGACAAUGGGGGGAACCCUGAUCCAGCCAUGCCGCGUGUGUGAAGAAGGCCCUCGGGUUGUAAAGCACUUUCAGUGAGGAAGAACGCCUGGUGGUUAAUACCCAUCAGGAAAGACAUCACUCACAGAAGAAGCACCGGCUAACUCCGUGCCAGCAGCCGCGGUAAUACGGAGGGUGCGAGCGUUAAUCGGAAUUACUGGGCGUAAAGCGCGCGUAGGUGGCUUGAUAAGCCGGUUGUGAAAGCCCCGGGCUCAACCUGGGAACGGCAUCCGGAACUGUCAAGGUAGAGUGCAGGAGAGGAAGGUAGAAUUCCCGGUGUAGCGGUGAAAUGCGUAGAGAUCGGGAGGAAUACCAGUGGCGAAGGCGGCCUUCUGGACUGACACUGACACUGAGGUGCGAAAGCGUGGGUAGCAAACAGGAUUAGAUACCCUAGUAGUC